AUUGAACGCUGGCGGCAGGCCUAACACAUGCAAGUCGAACGAGUGGCGGACGGGUGAGUAAUGUCUGGGAAACUGCCCGAUGGAGGGGGAUAACUACUGGAAACGGUAGCUAAUACCGCAUACCAUCGGAUGUGCCCAGAUGGGAUUAGCUGGUAGGUGAGGUAACGGCCCACCUAGGCGACGAUCCCUAGCUGGUCUGAGAGGAUGACCAGCCAGACUGGAACGGAUGCACGGUCCAGACGCCUACGGGAGGCAGCAGUGGGGAAUAUUGCACAAUGGGCGAAAGCCUGAUGCAGCAAUGCCGAGUGUAUGAAGAAGGCCUUCGGUUUGUAAAGUACUUUCAGCGGUGAGGCGUUACCCGCAGAAGAAGCACCGGCUAACUCCGUGCCAGCAGCCGCGGUAAUAC
rnacentral:rRNA from 1 species